GGCCAAAUGGUUUAGUGGUAUAAUUCUCGCUUUGGGUGCGAGAGGUCCUGGGUUCGAUUCCCAGUUUGGCCC